rnacentral:tRNA from 3 species
GGUGAGGUGGCCGAGAGGCUGAAGGCGCUCCCCUGCUAAGGGAGUAUGCGGCCAAAAGCUGCAUCCGGGGUUCGAAUCCCCGCCUCACCGCCA